rnacentral:rRNA from 1 species
UACCAGCACCCCUAGUUGUCUCUACUUUUAUUUUUCCUAAAUCAUCCUUAUCCUUUUCUACAAUUCUUCCUUUAAAUCCACCUGCUUAACAGAUUGGCUGCGGAAGAUACUAUAGAGCUAGGAGGCGGGAGAGGCAAGCGGUACUCGAUGGGUAGGGGUAAAAUCCGUUGAUCCAUUGAAGACCACCAGUGGCGAAGGCGGCUUGCCAGAACGCACUCGACGGUGAGGGAUGAAAGCUGGGGGAGCAAACCGG